GAUGAACGCUGGCGGCGUGCCUAAUACAUGCAAGUCGAGCGAACAGACGAGAGUGCUUGCACUCUCUGACGUUAGCGGCGGACGGGUGAGUAACACGUGGGUAACCUACCUAUAAGACUGGGAUAACUUCGGGAAACCGGAGCUAAUACCGGAUAAUAUUUAGCUUCGCAUGAAGCAAUAGUGAAAGACGGUUCUGCUGUCACUUAUAGAUGGACCCGCGGUGUAUUAGCUAGUUGGUGAGGUAACGGCUCACCAAGGCAACGAUACAUAGCCGACCUGGGAGGGUGAUCGGCCACACUGGGACUGAGACACGGCCCAGACUCCUACGGGAGGCAGCAGUAGGGAAUCUUCCGCAAUGGACGAAAGUCUGACGGAGCAAUGCCGCGUGAGUGAAGAAGGUUUUCGGAUCGUAAAACUCUGUUGUAAGGGAAGAACAAGUACGUUAGUAACUGAACGUACCUUGACGGUACCUUACCAGAAAGCCACGGCUAACUACGUG
rnacentral:rRNA from 1 species